rnacentral:lncRNA from 1 species
CCUCACCCACCUUAUCCACUAGAAUUUGUCAAUUCAAUUUUGACACGAGAUAGGUGAGGUAGAAUCUAUAUUGAUCUGACUGAAGAUGAUAAACUUAGCACUUUCUGGGAGACAACUCAGUUUCUAUUUUUUGAUAUCUUUCGUAUUUUGUUUAGGUUAAUCGAAUCUUACUUAGUAUCUUUUAUAGAAAUUUGAAGAUAAUAUUGAUUAAGUUAGGG